GGCAAGGAGUAUCACUUUAUUUCACAGUAGCUAGAAUAGAAACUUAGAAACCACAAAGAGCACUUGGGCACUUUCUUUGCCAACUGAAUUUUGACAGUAGCAAAGAUCAAAAUUUCAGUCUAUACCCGAUGCAGACUUGCAUAGCACUUGGGCACGAGACCGAUGAGCAUGAGGAGGAGCCGUCGUCGUCGAUGGGCCAGACCUGCAGAGACACAAUGUACUCCAUGAUUCAGUACUUCACAACAAUGAGCACAACAAUACAGAACAUGAUAUAGUAACAAGGUUCAGAACUUAAAUGUUGUUUCAACUUAAAUUCAGUAACAAGGAAGAACAUGAUUUAGUAACAUCAGAUGCCUGUGAAGAUCAGAAAGCAAGUGGUGUGGUCAAACGAAUUGGUGAUGAAGUAGGGGAUACAUACAAGUUUCAGAAAAAGUUCUGAACCAACAACCCACGGGAUACAUACAGAGCUUUGCAAGGCCACCCAAGCAACUUCAACUGUUGUGCUGCAUCAUCGGACAGCAUCCAGUCGCCAAAUCGCCAGGCCCGUGCUUCUGCAACUGCAACUUCAAAUUUUCAGUCAAACAUUACAGUUUGGGGACAUCUUGGAGACAGUUUGGAUCCUCACCUUUGCUCUGUCGUCGCGGGCAGUGCUGGUUGCUGGGCGGCGAAGGCGGGGAUGGUUGCUGGUGUCGACGGGGAAAAGUGGAGAGCUUCUGCCGACUCCAGCGAGGUGAGCGAGGUGGACGAGGUUGGCGGCGAACUGGUGGGAACCGGCUUCGUGGCCUACGGCAUCCAGCCGGCGAGGAGGUGGUACACGACAGGAAGGUCCAGCUCCGGCUCGCCAAGCUCGGGAAAGGCCGCCGCCGUCGCCCAUCAGAGACAAAAAUCGAGCCUUCUCCUUCCGAUGGCUCACUAUGGGGAACGAGCAAGGGAACAGGGAGAGGGAAGCAACGUGGUAGAGGUGUGGGGGAGCCGAGCAGGGGAGCUCCGGCGCGCAGAGGCUACGAGCGAGGGAGACGAGCAGGGGCAGGGUUUGUCGCUCCUGCUCCGGUACAAGGAGUAUAUAUGAGUGUACCCUGGCACCCUGCCCCUUGUAUUAUUAACCAGAAAAAAACAAUAAAGUGAAAAGAAGCCAGGAGCGACAAGCCCGCACCAAAACUUCCAUUGAUCUGUUUUUCAUUUCAUUCGCUAAAGUAUGUGAGUUUCCGUCGAGAGUUUCCAUCAGAGAUGGAUCGAUCCGAUCGUAGCCGGCCGAAGCAAGGACGUACGUCUAGUAGCUACAGAAUCAAUCCAGCUGCCUGCUAGGGUGCUUGCCUAGCUAGCUUGCACGACGUGCUUUGGUUCAGGAGGAUACUGUUAGGAAUAUGCAGAAAACCCCUUAUACAACGGGAUAAAUACAAAGGGGUAUAUGGCUAUAUUAUAU
rnacentral:lncRNA from 1 species